rnacentral:rRNA from 1 species
UACGAAGGGGGCUAGCGUUGCUCGGAAUCACUGGGCGUAAAGCGCACGUAGGCGGCUUUCUAAGUCAGGGGUGAAAUCCUGGAGCUCAACUCCAGAACUGCCUUUGAUACUGGAGAGCUUGAGUCCGGAAGAGGUGAGUGGAACUCCGAGUGUAGAGGUGAAAUUCGUAGAUAUUCGGAAGAACACCAGUGGCGAAGGCGGCUCACUGGUCCGGUACUGACGCUGAGGAGCGAAAGCCAGGGGAGCAAACGGG